GGACUACGUAAAGAGACGGAGGACUAUAUCCCGGCUGUCUUUUUACGACGGUGGCAGGUUGAAGGAGGGGGGGGAGCAGCGAGCAGCAUGGCAGUCUCUGGCAAAGCGUUGACCACAAGAACCAGCAAGGCCAAAACAAAGCGCUGAAUGGCGGGCGCUGACUUCAGCGUGUCUGCCCCCUCUGAUCCACACAAGGUUGCACUGUGUGUGUUCGGCCUCCGAGAACGAAAGGGGCGGCCACGGCGCACAAUCACCACUAAGCACAUACUUUGCUGCCCCACAAUCCCCCACCAGGCCAGACACAAACCCAGGGGCUGUAUGUUUAUCAAAGCGCCUCAGGAUGCUGCCAUGGAGACAGUGCUCUUAUAUCUGUGGGGCUUCCACCUACUGUAUACCGCCAGAACAACCACACACGCGUUCACACAAACUGCAAAGAAUUCCUCCAUGCUUCACCCAAUCGCUGCAAACCCAAGCAGCGUUUGACCACAAUGAACCAUUUUGCUCACAGAUGGGUUUGCCGGAUAACGUUGGAAAGACAAUAACUGCCGAGGACCAGCCGACAUACUGCGAAGGACCUGGCAAGGGAGAGACGGCUAUUUGUAACGGGGGAAAACAAAGAUGAUAUAAGAUUUAUUGAACCAAUACAGCGGAGCAAAUGAACAACAAAUGAACAGAGCUCAGUGAAGGAUAAAAUAACACAGUGGAGAGGAGGCGUCCACAAACAGCAGUAAAUGCAGCCCGGUAUCGAUCUGGAGAAGAGAGCCUGCCAGCAACGGCUACCUUCCUCUUUCCAGGAAGACUCUGC
ensembl:lncRNA